rnacentral:lncRNA from 1 species
UGCAUUUAUAUUAUUAUUUUUUUUUCAUUUAUUUACAAAAGUUUUGUUCUGUACUGACAAACAAAAAAAAAUACAAAAUUACUAUAUAGUCAAGUCAUAUUUCAUCAUCUAUGCAUUAUGCAAUAUGCGACAUGACUUUACUUGCUAUUUUAACCUGUCAUACAUUUAAAUCAUAAAUAGAUAAAUUCAUAACUUUCUGAACAUUAUUGAAAUAUUUGCCACUGGAAAUAAAGUAAACAACAAUUAACCAAUCAUAUUACAGCUUUAUCUAAGGGAAAUAAGUCCUUUAAAAGUAAUAAUGCUUGUGUAAUAGCCAGUUUCAUCAAUGCCUGUUUAAAGUGUAAAAAAAAGCAGUAAAAUAAUCUUUGUUAAACAGAAGCUUAAAAUAUAUCUAUGAAAACUGUAAAUCUAAACAUACCAAAAGCUUUAAAGAUCAAAGGUAUAUACUUUUUCCACAACUGCUAAAUCAAUGAGGAUCUUCAUUCCCUUAUUUUUUUAUUUUAUUGGAAAAAAUUCUCUGUUCCUUUUAUUAUGCCAUUACUAUCUACUCUUUAUUAAUCAUUCAAUGUUUUUUCAUCUAUUCUUUUGUCCCCAGUUAGUCUCUAUUUCAUAAACACCAUCCAGCCGCGGUGGCAUCCAGACACUUAUUUUCAUAAGUAAAAAAGAUUGGGUAGCACAGGGAUUUGGAUUAAAUAUCAAUCUUUUUAAUCGAAAUAUUCAACAAGUAAAUAAGUCUCUCCAAUUCAACCCAUUGUACAUGUUGUAUAUAUUUAAAUAAUAAUUUCAUUGUAAAUGCUAUUUGCAACAAAAAAUGUGCUACUUUUAAUCUCCAACCUACAGUAAAUAAACUAUUUGUGAGCUAUAUAUAUACUUUGGUGACAGCCAUGUAAACAAGCAAUGUGAUAUUUACAGUCCAACCUUAUAUAAACAUACUUAAUUUUGAGUUUGAUGUGAUAUUUUUACAGUGCAACCUUGAUCAAAUUUUAUUUUUAUCAUAAAUGUUUUGUGCAUCUGCCAAAUGCUAUUAUAUUGCAACCAUUUGAAUUUCAU